rnacentral:sRNA from 1 species
AUUGAUUUUUAUGGCCUUCAAGCAUGAAUGAAUUAGCACCUUAUGGUUGGGUAUGUUGGCUCAGAAUAUUCAAGAUAAGUCCAGCUACAGUCGAUUCCGCAGGGAUCAGGCUCCAGCCAUG